rnacentral:rRNA from 1 species
CUCAAAGCGUAUAUUAAGUUGUUGCAGUUAAAACGCUCGUAGUCGGGUUUCGGGUCGGGCCGAGCGGUCUGCCGAUGGGUAUGCACUGUUUGGCGCGGCCUUCUUUCCGGAGACCGCGGCUACUCUUAACUGAGCGGGCGUGGGAGACGGAUCGUUUACUUUGAAAAAAUCAGAGUGUUUCAAGCAGGCAGCUCGCUCUUGCAUGGUACAGCAUGGGAUGAUUGAAUAGGACUCCGGUGCUAUUUUGUUGGUUUCGAACACCAGGAGUAAUGAUUAACAGGGACAGUCAGGGGCACUCGUAUUCCGUCGAGAGAGGUGAAAUUCUCAGACCAAUGGAAGACGAACCACUGCGAAAGCAUUUGCCAGGGAUGUUUUCACUGAUCAAGAACGAAAGUUAGGGGAUCGAAGACGAUCAGAUACCGUCGUAGUCUUAACCAUAAACCAUGCCGACUAGGGAUUGGAGGGUGUUCGUUUCGACCUCUUCAGCACCUUACGGGAAACUAAAGUCUUUGGGUUCCGGGGGGAGUAUGGUCGCAAGGCUGAAACUUAAAGAAAUUGACGGAAGGGCACCACCAGGAGUGGAGCCUGCGGCUUAAUUUGACUCAACACGGGGAAACUUACCAGGUCCAGACAUUGUUAGGAUUGACAGAUUGAGAGCUCUUUCUUGAUUCGAUGGGUGGUGGUGCAUGGCCGUUCUUAGUUGGUGGAGUGAUUUGUCUGGU